rnacentral:misc_RNA from 1 species
UACGAAGGGGGUAAACGUUGCCCGGAUUUAUUGGGCGUAAAGUGUUUCGUAGGCGGCUUGGAAAGUUGUUUUUCAAAGCCCACGGCUCAACCGUGGAAAGGGAAGCAAUACUGCUAAGCUUGAAUGAUGUAGGGGUCACUGGAACUGUCGGUGUAGGGGUGAAAUCCGUUGAUAUCGAUAGGAACUCCGAAGGCGAAGGCGAGUGACUGGGCAUCUAUUGACGCUGAGGAACGAAAGCUAGGGGAGCGAAAGGG